rnacentral:rRNA from 1 species
GACGAACGCUGGCGGCGUGCUUAACACAUGCAAGUCGAACGGAAAGGCCUGCUUUCCCUUGUGGAUUGCGGGUACUCGAGUGGCGAACGGGUGAGUAACACGUGAGUGAUCUGCCCCCAACUUGGGUAUAAGCCUGGGAAACUGGGUCUAAUUCCCGAUAGGACUGCAGGGUGGUGCCUGAGGUGGAAAACGAUUUUCUAGUGGUUGGGGAUGAGCUCGCGGCCUAUCAGCUUGUUGGUGGGGUAAUGGCCUACCAAGGCGGCGACGGGUAGCCGGCCUGAGAGGGUGGACGGCCACAUUGGGACUGAGAUACGGCCCAGACUCCUACGGGAGGCAGCAGUGGGGAAUAUUGCACAAUGGGCGGAAGCCUGAUGCGGCGACGCCGCGUGGGGGAUGACGGCCUUCGGGUUGUAAACUCCUUUCGACCGCGAGGAAGCCACCUGGUUGGAAGGGUGGUGACGGUAGUGGUAGAAGAAGCACCGGCUAACUACGUG